rnacentral:rRNA from 1 species
UACGUAGGGUGCGAGCGUUAAUCGGAAUUACUGGGCGUAAAGCGUGCGCAGGCGGUUCGCUAAGACCGAUGUGAAAUCCCCGGGCUUAACCUGGGAACUGCAUUUGUGACUGCAUCGCUGGAGUGCGGCAGAGGGGGAUGGAAUUCCGCGUGUAGCAGUGAAAUGCGUAGAUAUGCGGAGGAACACCGAUGGCGAAGGCAAUCCCCUGGGCCUGCACUGACGCUCAUGCACGAAAGCGUGGGGAGCAAACAGG